GACGAACGCUGGCGGCGUGCUUAACACAUGCAAGUCGAGCGGUAAGGCCCUUUCGGGGGUACACGAGCGGCGAACGGGUGAGUAACACGUGGGUGACCUGCCCUCAGCUCUGGGAUAAGCCUGGGAAACCGGGUCUAACGUACCGGAUAUGACUCCAUGACGCAUGUUGUGGGGUGGAAAGCCUUGUGCGGCUGAGGAUGGGCCCGCGGCCUAUCAGCUUGUUGGUGGGGUGAUGGCCUACCAAGGCGACGACGGGUAGCCGGCCUGAGAGGGCGACCGGCCACACUGGGACUGAGACACGGCCCAGACUCCUACGGGAGGCAGCAGUGGGGAAUCUUGCGCAAUGGGCGAAAGCCUGACGCAGCGACGCCGCGUGAGGGAUGACGGCCU
rnacentral:rRNA from 1 species